rnacentral:tRNA from 1 species
AGCUAAUGAGCUUGUUAAAGCAUAUAUUUUGAAAAUAUAAGAAAGAAAUAAAAUUUCUAUUAGCUU